GUUGACCUCGGAUCAGGUAGGGAUACCCGCU
rnacentral:ncRNA from 18 species